AAACUACCAGCAUUGGAAGAACUACAAAAAGUUGAGGUUUUGGACCUCCACUGACAGAUUAAGGUACUAAAUUAGACUAAAAGACUUCCAAAAGACUGUAUUACAGUGCUGUCUGGCUCUGCUUCAUUCAUCUGUUCAUUCCUUCAAUCCAGGAGAUAAAGCCCUAGUCAAUUCCUGGAAAGAAGUGCCCCUCCAAUCACAGUGAAAGGGCACCUAUAAAAUUUUAUUUGACCACACCCACUGUUUUAAAACUCACUGAUUAAAUCCUGUGGAUCCAUUACUUCAGAGUUAAGAAGUGGACAUCUGAAGAGCAGACACCUACUGACUCACCAUCACCACCUGGGACCUCACCUCUCCCCAAGCCCUGUCUACCAUGAUGCUCUCAGACUAUGGCACAAGGAUGAGGUCCCAUCCCAACAAAGACUAGAAGGCCUACUCUGACAAAACAGCUCUCAUAAAGACCACACUGAGGAGACAAUGCACCCAAAGUCCUGUUCUCUUCACCCCAGAACCUGAUGAGUCAACUCAUGGCUGAAGACUGGUUGUAGUCACUCAUCUAAGCACUGUCAACUGUUUAAAAUGAUUUUCCUGAGCUGGGAAGAUAGUGGAUCAAUAAGCAGCAAAGUAAAGAGCCUCUCUGAGAGAAACAGCUCAGAUGCUGGAAUAAAACAUCCUGAAGAAGACCAGGUUUUUCCUUCUUUGAUGGAGCUACAGCAUCCCAAAGUAGUUGGACAGCACACAAUCCCCAAUAGGUUGCGCAUUGGCAUAUCUGAAUUGCCACCUUCACUCCUCAGUGGUGAGCUUGAACAAAAGGACAAUUCACAUACAAGUGGGACAUAAACAGUUUCAUCUACUCACAAUGGUGCAUAAUUUAAAACUUACGACUUCCUUUCUGGAAUUUUUCACGUGGUAUUUUUGGACUGAAACUGACCACAUGUAACAAGCUGCAAAAAAUAAAACUGUUGAUGGGGGAAGACAACUAUAGUAACUUCCUGGCUUCACACAGACAUAUAGGUAGCUCUUAAUUCCUAGUUGUGACUAAAGACUGAUAAACUUACUCAGAAGAAAACCCGUGUUAAACAUACAAGAUGCUUUACUGUAGCCUAGAAUCUAAUCUCUACAGCUGCUGUUUGGGAAAUAGGAACCAACCGGUCUACUUAGAAAUUCCAAGUAACAACAUUAGGUCUAGAUUAAGGAGGAAGGUGUAGAUGGAGUUAAUGUGUAACUGGGAAGACUCCAGAGAAAGACUGAAGUCCUGCUUCAUCCAGGAUCAAGUAGCUACUUGAGUUAAAAAACAAAUCCAGGCAAGGUGUGGUGGUGUAGGCUUGUGAUUCCAGCACUCACGAGACCGAAGCAGAAGGAGUCCCUGUGAGUCUGAGGCCAGCCUAAGCUAUGAAGUGAGUUCAAGGCCAGCCUGAACUGCAAAGCAAGACCCUGUCUCAGACAAAAAACCUCCACCAAAUUCAAACUUAACAGAAAAGCAGGUGUCCUUGUAAGUUUUCACUAUACAGGGGGGAAAAACACACUCAAUUAAUAAUUUAUCUUUUAUUGAAAUUGAAUACUUUAUAUUACAUUAGAUUGGAAAAAAAAUGAAGAGAACAAUCAAUUUUAAAAAAUAUACUCAUGUUGAAAUCAAAUAAGCCAGCCAAACGGGGCACAAACCAAGAGAUUCUGUAGGGUGGUUUGCUUUUCCCAUAUGAAUACCACUGUCUAUGUACAACUCUGCAAUGUGAGAAGAGUCAUUCAUGAAAUAUUUCAAGAAAGGAGUUGACAGCCAGCGGAGGAUAUAGGCCAGGUCCUCCUUCCUGCCCUUGAGGGAGCCCACAACCAGCUACAAUGAGAUUGGGGCCCAUCAAGCUUCCUGCCAGCUUGGAAAGUCAUACUCUGUGCAAAUUAAGGCUUCUUUAUAGGUUGAAUGUUUGAUAAACACUUUUUUUUUUCUUAAAAAAAUAAGCACAGUAAAGGUGGUAUCACGAGAACCUGAAGAGAUGAAACCUACAGCCCAAAUCAAGAAACCAGCGAUUUUCUCAGACAUCUCAAUUCCAUGUCACAUACACAAAACAUUAUCAAUCUUUGGGUGGGCCGUCUGAGUUUACCAGCUGGCAAAGCAAUACUGGCAAAUGUGCUCUGUACAUCUAUGCCUGAAGAUGUCAUGCAAAGAGCUGCAGCUGUCAUUAACAAAAGGCAUAGCACAGACAGAGCCUCCCAAACCUAGGCACUCAGUGAUCCUGUGCAUGUAUGUGCGGUGCCCUUAAAAAUGGAAAGCAAAGGAGAAGAGACAGAAUGGAAUCCUCAAACUCAGGGGAUAUGUUAAUGACCAGUUCAAAACGCCACGAAAAACCACCCCAGCAAACCAACAGUUUCCCUUCCUCACCAGCUGGUGCACUGCAUUCUGCUGGCAGAAGGAAACUGUGGUUUUUUGUGUUUUUUUUUUUUUUUUUUUUUUUUUCCUUUUU